GUUUCAAUAUUUUAUAUCUUUUAUUAGAUGUUCAUGUGGUUUGGUUAUUUGCCUUUUGGUUGAAAGUACACUGAGACAGGACUUUUCGUUAGUGAUCUUAAUAAUUUCUUUUUUCAUAUUAAUGUAAUUUUUUCAUCUAAUUGAAUACAAUCUAUUUGUGUAUGAUUGUCAGUCCAAAGAGGGAGAGAGGAAAGAGGGGAACAUGAGGAGAAAGUACAAGGUCAGGAAGAACCAGUUGUUUCCUGACUCACGAUUUAAACUGGCAAUAGCCUCACCUGGAUGCUGGACUCCAUUGUACUCCAAACAGCUGGUAAAGACUCUCAGUGUUCUCCGGUCUCACCUGCCUGCCUCCCUGCCUGCUCUGCUUUGGAAUCAUUACUCCACUGGACUCACC
ensembl:lncRNA